UUUUAAGGGCCGCGGUAAUUUGACCGUGCAAAGGUAGCAUAAUAGUUAGUUUUUUAAUUGGAAUCUUGUAUGAAUGGUUGGACAAAAGAAAUACUGUCUCUAUUAUUUUAAUUGAAUUUAACUUUUAAGUGAAAAGGCUUGAAUAAGUUAAAAAGACGAUAAGACCCUAUAAAGCUUUAUAAGAAAUUUAUAUUUAUUUAAUGUAAGUGAUAAAGAUUUAAUAUAAAUUCUUAUUUUAUUGGGGAGAUAAAAUUAUAAUUUAGUGUAACUGAGUUAAAGUUAGACAAAAAUAGAUGUGUAAAAAAAAAAUAAAAGAUCCCACCUAUGGAUUUAAAGUUCAAGUUACUUUAGGGAUAACAGCGUUAUUUUUCUUGAGAGUUCAUAUCGAAAGAAAAGAUUGCGACCUCGAUGUUGAAUUAAAAUUUCUAGAUUAUUGUAAAAGUAAUCUUAAAAGGUCUGUUCGACCUUUAAAUUUUUA
rnacentral:rRNA from 1 species